GAUGAACGCUGGCGGCGUGCCUAAUACAUGCAAGUCGAGCGGACGGACGAGAAGUUUGCUUCUCUGAUGUUAGCGGCGGACGGGUGAGUAACACGUGGAUAACCUACCUAUAAGACUGGGAUAACUUCGGGAAACCGGAGCUAAUACCGGAUAAUAUUUUGAACCGCAUGGUUCAAUAGUGAAAGACGGUCUUGCUGGCAGUUAUAGAUGGUUCCGCGCUGCAUUAGCUAGUUGGUAAGGUAACGGCUUACGAAGGCAACGAUGGGUAGGCGACAUGAGAGGGGGAACAGCCACAAUGGUCCUGCGACAGGGACCAGACUGCUACGGGAGGCAGCAGUGGGAAAUAUUGCACAACGGGGGCAAGCCUGAUGCGGAGAUGCCGGGUGCGGGAUGCCGGCCUUCGGGUUGAAAACCUCUUUGAGCAGGGAAGAAGCGAAAGUGACGGUACCUGAUCAGAAAGCGCCGGCUAACUACGUG
rnacentral:rRNA from 1 species